CAGUAGCCGCGGGAAUACGGAGGGUGCAAGCGUUAAUCGGAAUUACUGGGCGUAAAGCGCACGCAGGCGGUCUGACAAGUCAGAUGUGAAAUCCCCGGGCUUAACCUGGGAACUGCAUUUGAAACUGUCAGGCUGGAGUCUUGUAGAGGGGGGUGGAAUUCCAGGUGUAGCGGUGAAAUGCGUAUAGAUCUGGAGGAAUACCGGUGGCGAAGGCGGCCCCCUGGACAAAGACUGACGCUCAGGUGCGAAAGCGUGGGGAGCAAACAGGAUUAGAUACCCCUGUAGUCCCUGUCUCUUAUAU
rnacentral:rRNA from 1 species